rnacentral:lncRNA from 1 species
GACAUGCUCCCAACAAUCAAGAUGAGUUCAAAUCUUCUUGUUAAUGUGAAAACAUCCGCAACAUAAGAUUAAAGAGUUACCUGAGUUGCAGAAUAAUAAAUACAGCAACAAAGAAUGGAAGCUCAGCAACUAAAGCAACAUAAAAAUAGCAGCACAACAACAGCAAAUCCGUGUUAAAAUAGCUCGAAAACUCAGAGAAGAAACCCAGAAGCAAACUCUAAAAAGGACUUAUACUUUUCUAAAAAAAAGGUUUGCACUUUAAGAUUCACUCUUAAGACUUACAAUUUCAUCUUACUAAAAGAUGCUUCAGCUGCUAAUUUUUUUUGUUGUUGUAUGUUCAAAAGCAGAAAAAUGAUCCCCUCCAAAAUGUGAUGGAGUCCCCUAUAUAUAUCAAAACAACUAGCUAUUUCAAAAAAUUAAAAAUCAAUCUUUUUGACAGAUUUUUCUACAAAAUCUGCUCUUAAAUUCAAAAAGCAAGACUUUCUAGUUCAAAUCUUGUCAAGUAUUUCAAACAAAAUCUGCUCUCCACUAUUCAAAGAUAGACUUUAUUGAAAUAAUGUCCAAAGGUCUAUAUUUUCUUACCAAACAAUUUGACUUUUGAGUGUUGUACUUAAAGAGUCAUGAAGCAGUAAACAAACAACCAAACAAGUACCAUAUACUCUUAAGUAUAUUUCAUUACCUCACUUUUAUCAAUACAAAACUAUUUUACUACUUCAACAAGUGCAAAAACAGAAAAUUUAACAUUUCAAACUUCAAAAACUAAUGCUAAAAUAAUUAAUAAUAGACAAAAAUAAAAUCUGAAAAUUAAAAAUAAAAAUAAAAAAAUCAGCCAUGAAAAAGAAUAGUAUUUUACCAUUUUACACAUCAAAAGGCCGAAAAAAUGGUGGUAUGCCAAAGAGGGUGUUCCGGGAGGUCGCCGGAAUUAGGCCGGAUUUUGGUCGCCGGAUUUUCGGGGUAGAAUUGACAUCAAUAGCUAGGUCUUGAGGAGCUCUAUCCAUUGAUGUAGGUAUUUUGGGGUGGUAGUGGUUGGAGCUUCAAGAAUUUGGGCAAAAAAGUGACGGGAAAGUUUUCUAGAUCUAAGAUUCAAGGAGUUUGAGGGAUUUUUUUAGGAUUUGGUUAGGAGAUAUGGAAAGAGGAAGUUGUGAAGAUUACGUGGCGUGAAUUUGGAGGUGUUUGGAGGUGGUCCGCCGCCGGCGGCGAUUUCCGGCAGGUGGUGGUGGGCGGAGCUGGGGCGGCAUAGAGAGAGUGAAGAGAGAGAGAAGAGAGAGAGAAGAGAGAAGAAGGAGAGGGAAAGAAGAGAGAGGAAAUAAGGGGGAAAAUG